GAGAUUAGCUUGCUUUAAUUGUCAGCUAAGUGGCGCACGGGUGAGUAAUGUAUAGAUAACCUGCCCUUAAGAAAGGAAUAACAGUUGGAAACGACUGCUAAUGCCCUAUAUGCCUUUAAUACAUAAGUAUGCAAGGGAAACGCUUUAGUGCUUAAGGAUGGGUCUGUAUGGUAUCAGCUUGUUGGUGAGGUAAUGGCUCACCAAGGCUAUGACGCCUAACUGGUUUGAGAGGAUGAUCAGUCACACUGGAACUGAGACACGGUCCAGACUCCUACGGGAGGCAGCAGUGGGGAAUAUUGCACAAUGGACGAAAGUCUGAUGCAGCAACGCCGCGUGGAGGAUGACACAUUUCGGUGCGUAAACUCCUUUUAUAUAGGAAGAUAAUGACGGCACUAUAUGAAUAAGCACCGGCUAACUCCGUGCCAGCAGCCGCGGUAAUACGGAGGGUGCAAGCGUUACUCGGAAUCACUGGGCGUAAAGAGCGUGUAGGCGGGUAUAUAAGUCAGAAGUGAAAUCCUAUAGCUUAACUAUAGAACUGCUUUUGAAACUGUAUACCUAGAAUGUGGGAGAGGUA
rnacentral:rRNA from 1 species